UGGGCGGUAUCGAGAGAACUGCACCUUUAGUAGGCAUAUAAAAAAAUAGUUCUGCCUGGAUCCGAAAUCGGACUGGGACGGAGGG
rfam:Bacillus subterraneus strain MITOT1 contig_220, whole genome shotgun sequence.